rnacentral:rRNA from 1 species
UAAGGGAUAUUGGUCAAUGGGCGGGAGCCUGAACCAGCCAUGCCGCGUGAGGGAAUGAGGCCCUACGGGUCGUAAACCUCUUUUGCCGGGGGAUAACGGGCGCCACGCGUGGCGCCGUGAAGGUACCCGGAGAAUAAGCAUCGGCUAACUCCGUGCCAGCAGCCGCGGUAAUACGGAGGAUGCGAGCGUUAUCCGGAUUUAUUGGGUUUAAAGGGUGCGUAGGCGGACCGUUAAGUCAGUGGUAAAAUUGAGAGGCUCAACCUCUUCCGGCCAUUGAAACUGGCGGACUUGAGUGAGCGAGAAGUAUGCGGAAUGCGUGGUGUAGCGGUGAAAUGCAUAGAUAUCACGCAGAACUCCGAUUGCGAAGGCAGCAUACCGGCGCUCAACUGACGCUGAGGCACGAAAGCGUGGGGAUC